rnacentral:rRNA from 1 species
CCUACGGGUGGCAGCAGUGAGGAAUAUUGGUCAAUGGACGAGAGUCUGAACAAGCCAAGUAGCGUGAAGGAUGACUGCCCUAGGGGUUGUAAACUUCUUUUAUAUGGGAAGAAAACAGGGUAUGCAUACCCUCUUGUAUGUACCAUAUGAAUAAGGAUCGGCUAACUCCGUGCCAGCAGCCGCGGUAAUACGGAGGAUCCGAGCGUUAUCCGGAUUUAUUGGGUUUAAAGGGAGCGUAGGUGGAUUGUUAAGUCCGUUGGGCAAGUUUGCGGCUCAACCGUAAAAUUGCCGUUGAAACUGGCAGUCUUGAGUACAGUAGAGGUGGGCGGUAUUCGUGGUGUAGCGGUGCCAUGCUUAGAUCUCACGCAGUACUCCGAUUGCGAAGGCAGCUCACUGGACUGCAUCUGACACUGAUGCUCGACAGUGUGGGUAUCAAACAGGCUUAGCUACCCCUGUAGUC